rnacentral:rRNA from 1 species
UUGAAAGGGAAACGAUUGAAGUCAGUCGUACCAGCGGGAAAUCAACCUUUCGAGUGGGGGUUUUGGAGUUUUGAAGAGUGUCAAAACCUUUGAGAUUUCAAAAUAUUCGCUCUUUUGGUGUACUUUCUCGUGGGUAGGUUAACAUCGAUUUUGAUCAUCAUAAAAAGAUUGGAGGAAUGUAGCUUCGAUCUUGUAUUGAAGUGUUAUAGCCUUUGGUAAAUGUGAUGAUUAGGAUCGAGGAUUGCAACGAAUACCCUUUUGGGCUAUCCGCCUGAUCUCUGAUACGUGGCCUUGGUAUCGAAAGCUUGCUUAUGGUAUUAAGGCAUUACGGUCAAAAGGUUAGAACGGAUUACAUUCGUUAAGGAUGUUGACGUA